UUUUUGAUAGCUGGAUGCGAUUUUAGAAGAGGAAGGUAAAGAAGAUAAGCAAGAUACCAAUGUGGAAGCAGAAGGAAGUGGAAGGAAGAAGAGGACCCGACUCAACUAAACCCUAAAGGUAUAAUCAUUAAUCUCACUUGAACUGAUGUCUGUGAUUAAAUUUACUGUCAUGUUACUUUGUGUGAUAUGAAUCUAUAAAAUGUUUGAUGCCUUGUUGAGUAGUGUUUUAUACAUUGAACUGAUGUUUGUGUGAUAUGUACUGUCAUGUUACUUUGUUUGAACUGAUGUUACUGUCAUGUUUAAACCAAUGUAUUUUACUAUCUGCUUGUGUGAUAACUUAUGUGUUUUAAUUUGAUAGGAGAGGCUGAGAAGAUAAAGAAGAGAAGGGCAAUCAAAACUUAUGCUUUGGAUUUUUUAUUUUUAUGUAUGAACCAUUAUGUAUGAACUAAUAUAUGAAUUUUCUAUGCUUUGGAUAUGUAAAACUUAUGAAACUUAAGGUGUAAAACUUGAAAUUUAUGUUUUUUAUGGAUGUUUCA
rnacentral:lncRNA from 1 species